rnacentral:rRNA from 1 species
GGCGAACGCUGGCGGCGUGCUUAACACAUGCAAGUCGAACGGAAAGGCCCUGCUUUUGUGGGGUGCUCGAGUGGCGAACGGGUGAGUAACACGUGAGUAACCUGCCCUUGACUUUGGGAUAACUUCAGGAAACUGGGGCUAAUACCGGAUAGGAGCUCCUGCUGCAUGGUGGGGGUUGGAAAGUUUCGGCGGUUGGGGAUGGACUCGCGGCUUAUCAGCUUGUUGGUGGGGUAGUGGCUUACCAAGGCUUUGACGGGUAGCCGGCCUGAGAGGGUGACCGGCCACAUUGGGACUGAGAUACGGCCCAGACUCCUACGGGAGGCAGCAGUGGGGAAUAUUGCACAAUGGGCGGAAGCCUGAUGCAGCAACGCCGCGUGCGGGAUGACGGCCUUCGGGUUGUAAACCGCUUUCGCCUGUGACGAAGCGUGAGUGACGGUAAUGGGUAAAGAAGCACCAGCUAACUACGUG